UAUGUAGAUGCCAAAAAUGCUAGCCACAGGAAGCGACGCUCUGGAAGAAAUACAGCAACAAAUCUACACAAAGAAUAUUUACUUUUGAGGAGAUAUUACCAAGUUUUAAAAGGUUCACACAUGAUAUCAAAGAGAUCCUACGUUGAAACGAAGAUUCAUGGAUAUGUUUUGUUGCUGAACGCUGAAGUAAAGUGUACCGCGGGCAGUUUCCUUCAAGGGGACAGUUGUGUUUAUUGCCCUGCUGGUACAUAUCAAGAAGGAAACGGAUGUACUAUGUGCAAAAGUGGAUUUUAUCAGAAUGAUAUUGGUCAG